CAAUUGUUACGUUCGCUUUCGAAUUUUUAGCCGGAGCGGGACCGAGAUCUUCGCCAGAGGCUCGCGCUCAUGCACGGUCGGUCGGCGGAAAUUCAUGCGCGAGAUAGGGACGCUCCUCGGCGUAUCAGUGUUUCGAGGGAACGUUAUCGGCGGGACAUGCGUGGUGAUCUAGGAAUUGGUGCACCAUGGACUGCCUAGAAUUUUGAGAGGAACAACUUGUCACUGGUGAGCUUGUGGAGUUUCGACAUCUGCCUGGAAUUUAAGCGCAAUGAAAGAGUACGGUGAAGAGGAGGUGGGAGAAGAAAAGAUGAUGAAGUAUCAGCAGCGGUGAAAGCGGCGAGGGAGAUUUAGGGGGUUACCAGCGCGGCUUGACCGAGUAACAAUCAAAUAGGCUAGUCGUCCGCGUGACUAACCCGUUACCGCUGC